UACGUAGGGUGCGAGCGUUGUCCGGAAUUAUUGGGCGUAAAGGGCUCGUAGGCGGUUUGUCGCGUCGGGAGUGAAAAUCCAGGGCUUAACUCUGGACUGGCUUCCGAUACGGGCAGACUAGAGGUAUGCAGGGGAGAACGGAAUUCCUGGUGUAGCGGUGAAAUGCGCAGAUAUCAGGAAGAACACCCGUGGCGAAGGCGGUUCUCUGGGCAUGUUCUGACGCUGAGGAGCGAAAGCAUGGGGAGCAAACAGG
rnacentral:rRNA from 1 species